rnacentral:tRNA from 1 species
GGUAGGAUGACUGACUUAGGUGUUAGAUUGUAAAUCUAUUUAUGGAAUAUAAUUUCUCCUACCA